UGGGGAAUUUUGGACAAUGGGCGCAAGCCUGAUCCAGCCAUGCCGCGUGCAGGAUGAAGGCCUUCGGGUUGUAAACUGCUUUUGUACGGAACGAAAAGGUGCCUUCUAAUAAAGGGCGCUCAUGACGGUACCGUAAGAAUAAGCACCGGCUAACUACGUGCCAGCAGCCGCGGUAAUACGUAGGGUGCGAGCGUUAAUCGGAAUUACUGGGCGUAAAGCGUGCGCAGGCGGUUUUGUAAGACAGAGGUGAAAUCCCCGGGCUCAACCUGGGAACUGCCUUUGGGACUGCAAUGCUGGAGUGCGGCAGAGGGGGAUGGAAUUCCGCGUGUAGCAGUGAAAUGCGUAGAUAUGCGGAGGAACACCGAUGGCGAAGGCAAUCCCCUGGGCCUGCACUGACGCUCAUGCACGAAAGCGUGGGGAGCAAACA
rnacentral:rRNA from 1 species